rnacentral:rRNA from 1 species
CCUACGGGUGGUGCAGUGGGGAAUAUUGCACAAUGGGCGCAAGCCUGAUGCAGCCAUGCCGCGUGUGUGAAGAAGGCCUUCGGGUUGUAAAGCACUUUCAGCGGGGAGGAAGGCGGUGAGGUUAAUAACCCCAUCGAUUGACGUUACCCGCAGAAGAAGCACCGGCUAACUCCGUGCCAGCAGCCGCGGUAAUACGGAGGGUGCAAGCGUUAAUCGGAAUUACUGGGCGUAAAGCGCACGCAGGCGGUCUGUCAAGUCGGAUGUGAAAUCCCCGGGCUCAGCCUGGAAACUGCAUUCGAAACUGGCAGGCUAGAGUCUUGUAGAGGGGGGUAGAAUUCCAGGUGUAGCGGUGAAAUGCGUAGAGAUCUGGAGGAAUACCGGUGGCGAAGGCGGCCCCCCGGACAAAGACUGACGCUCAGGUGCGAAAGCGUGGGGAGCAAACAGGAUUAGAUACCCCAGUAGUC